CAUCACAAACACAGACGAUAAGUUAGACACAAGAAACUAAUGUCACAAAAACCUCUCUCCCUCAGUUUACCACAGGAUGAUGUGCCUUCUAGUUUUCUGCUGCCUUUCAGCCUGUGCAGGUGGAGCUCUGGCUCUGGAGGUGCAUCAGUCGACCUCUCAUCUCAUCAAAGACCCUGGAGACAGAGUACAGAUUUUCUGCAGCCAUGAUAAAACCGACUACAGGGUGAUGCUCUGGUACCAGCGCUCGUUCGGAGACACGGCUAUGAAACUCAUCGGAUAUCUGUUCUACAAAGCUGUCACCAUGGAAGAGGCUUACAAAAUAGAUUUUAACAUGUCUGGAGAUUUGGGAGAAACUGCAAAGAACGGCUCUCUUAUUGUGAAUAGUGUGAGACGAGAGCACAGUGCAGUUUAUUACUGUGCAGCUAGCAAAGCACACUGAUUGAAAUCCCCUCUGAGCGUUACAAAAACCCUCUGAGGUGGUUGUGAAUUAGACGUGGAAGAAAA